rnacentral:rRNA from 1 species
CAGUAGCCGCGGUAAUACGGAGGGGGCUAGCGUUGUUCGGAAUUACUGGGCGUAAAGCGCACGUAGGCGGCUUGGUAAGUUAGAGGUGAAAGCCCGGAGCUCAACUCCGGAAUUGCCUUUAAGACUGCCGAGCUAGCAGGUGAGAGAGGUAAGUGGAAUUCCGAGCGUAGAGGUGAAAUUCGUAGAUAUUCGGAAGAACACCAGUGGCGAAGGCGGCUUACUGGCUCAUACUGGACGCUGAGGUGCGAAAGCGUGGGGAGCAAACAGGAUUAGAUACCCCAGUAGUCCCUGUCUCUUAUAC